GCCUCCUGCCCAGAACCUUCCAAGCAGACACAAUGGUAAGAAUGGUGUCUGUCCUGCUGUCUCUGCUGCUGCUUCUGGGUCCUGCUGUCCUCCAGGAGACCCGAGAUGGUCAUUACUCUCUGACCUAUCUCUACACUGGGCUGUCCAGGUCUGGCAAAGGCACCCACAGGCUGCAGGGCACUGUCUUCCUCAAUGGCCAUGCCUUCUUCCACUACAACAGUGAAGACAGGAAGGCUGAGCCCCUGGGACCAUGGAGACAUGCGGAAGGAGUAGAGGACUGGGAGAAGCAGAGCCAAGUUCAGAAGGCCAGGGAGGACAUCUUUAUGGAGACCCUGAACAACAUCAUGGAGUAUUACAACGACGGUAACGGGGAGGUUUCAGGGUCUCAUGCCUUGCAGGAAAGGUUUGGUUGUGAGAUCCAGAAUAACAGAAGCACUGGAGCAUUCUGGAAGAAUGCCUAUGAUGGAAAGGACUACAUUGAAUUCAACAAAGAAAUCCCAGCCUGAGUCCCCUUGGUCCCGGAAGCCCAGAACACCAAGCAGAAGUAGGAGGCAGAACCAGUCUACGUGCAGCGGGCCAAGGCUUACCUGGAGGAGGAGUGCCCUGCAACUCUGCGGAAAUACCUGAAAUACAGCGAAAAUAUCCUGGACCGGCAAGAUCCUCCCUCUGUGGUGGUCACCAGCCACCAGGCCCCAGGAGAAAAGAAGAAACUGAAGUGCCUGGCCUACGACUUCUACCCAGGGAAAAUUGAUGUGCACUGGACUCGGGCCGGCGAGGUGCAGGAGCCUGAGUUACGGGGAGAUGUUCUUCACGGUGGAAACGGCACUUACCUGACCUGGUUGUUGGUGCAUGUGCCCCCGCAGGACACAGCCCCCUACUCCUGCCACGUGCAGCACAGCAGCCUGGCCCAGCCCCUCGUGGUGCCCGGGGAGGCCAGGUAGGAAGCAAGGGCUGGAGGCAAUGUGGGAUCUCAGCCCCAGUAGCUGCCCUUCCUGCCUGAUGUGGGAGCUGAACCACCGAAAUCACGGUCAAUGGAUCCUCAAGGCCCAAGGAGCAGUGUGGGGGGACAGACAGGAGGUGGAUUUGGAGACCGAAGACUGGGAUGCCUGUCCUGAGCUGACUCGGACCCAAAAACCAUCUCACCUUGAACCACCCCCCGCCAUUGUCUAAUCUGUGGAAACUAAUAAAUAAUCAUCUCUCUUUGUCAAGCACGACAGAGAACAGUAUUAACUGUAAAA
ensembl:lncRNA AZGP1P1 AZGP1 pseudogene 1